UUGGAUUGAGGGUCACGAGCUUGCUCGGACCCGUACCACAAUCAAUAACCUCUUGUGAACCUGUCGGCCCUCGGGCCUUCAAACUCCAAACUUUGUGUGUUGUAUGAACGUCAUGUCUAAAAACAUAACA
rnacentral:misc_RNA from 1 species